UGUACAAAUUAAUUUUUAAGUGAUAAAGCACAAACAGUGAAGUACCGCCACCGGUCGAGAGGGGCAGCACCUCAACAAGACGGGAGAAUUGUAAACCGGAAGAUACCGUGUCCUGCCAGAGAGCACUCGUCGUUACAAGUUUUCAGUGUUUGAAGAGAGGCUCAAGAUACAGAUUUAAGACAAAAGGCAUCAAUUACGAUCGUUUAAAUAACUUGCCCAGAGCACAGCAUCUCGUGUACAGCAUGAAGUUUUCAGCUAUCAAGUUAUUGUUUUUUUUUUAAUAAUGUAGAUUUCUAGAGACUCCAGAAUGAAAACCAAGCCCUGCACUGCAAAAAAAUGAAUGUCUUUCUUAGUUUUCUUUUGUCUUGUUUUCUAAUAUUAAUAUCUGAAAAUUCUUAAAUUGAGAUACACUGACUUGGUAAGCAAGUGGCUUAAGAUAUUAAGUUUUGUUUAUUGAAAUAAAUGAUGGAAAUCAAGAGGUUUUUAAAACAAGUCAAAAUAUUUACCUGUUUAGUAAGAAAAAUAAACUUAAUUCCAGUUUCAACUUGAUCAACUUAAUUUAAGUUUAUUUUUCUUACUGCAUUGGCAGAUAUUUUGACUUGUUUUAAGUAAAAAGAAAAACUCUUCAUUUUUAUAAUUUAUUUUAAUAAACAAGACUUAAUAUCUUAAGCCACUUGCUUACCAAGUCAAUGUAUCUCAAUUUGAGAAUUUUUAGAUAUUUAUUUUAGAAAACAAGACAAAAAAACCUAGGUAAGUCAAUACUUUUUUGCAGUGUGAGGGAGAAGAACCAAGCCCUGAGGGAACGUAGUGAACGAGCAGCUUCGGAUGACAGCGGCUCACUUUUGGCGUUGCUUGACAACACUUUGAGGCAGGAUAAAAAGCUCCAGGAACAAUUUCUUUAGAGUAUCUUCUCUAAUCACCUUUCCAUUAAUACAACCUGGACUGGUGUAGGGAAUCAAGCAUGUUUUAGAGACCUGUUUCUGAAGACCAUUGUUCAAAGAGCCAUCCGGAAGAACCCUGCAACCCAGGAUGCCACUGAUUGGGCUGUCCAGGUUAAUGUUACGUGUUACCUGAAAGGAGCAUCUGACCGUAAAGGCGGAAAAAGGCAGUACACAGCUGAGAGGGACCCACAGAUGACGCCUUAAACCGAGGCUGACUACUGACACCCCAGCAUCGCUGACAACUGGAAACCUUUCUUUAUCGUGCAGUCAGUAACAUCAAGAACCCUAAAGAAUCCUGAAGUAUCACACUACACUCAACCAAUCCACACUUCACUUUGAAAAUUACUAUUCUUUUAUUUUUCAAAUUCCAUGUGACCCUGCCUUAAGGGCAGCUCCUCGUAUAGAUAUGGAAUGGCGAGGAUGUUUGUCCUUUAUACAGGUGCACGAGAUAAAGUACUGAUCCCUUGAGGGUCAAUCAAGUAUUUGUUCAUUUUUAAUUCACAAUAUACAGAUCUUAUUGCAGCAAAGUGAAAAUAUUGUGUUCCAGGUCAGCAGUGCCAUUAUAAUAGUCUAUUCUAGUCCAGAGCUUUACUCUAGGAUAAGUGGUAAUAAUUUAUUGUUAGAAAUGAGGAUUUAUUUGGUAUGCUGCACGUUCUUUGGUACCAAAUAUCCUCAUUACUUAAUUUUAUGUUUACUGGUAGCCAAAUUCUUUUCAUCCCAGAGCUGACCUCUAAAUUAUUAACAAUUGUUGUAAAUGAUAUGUUCUAAUUUGCUUGUAAUGUUUUUUUUAAACUAGAAUUUAUUUGGAAACCUGCAUGUUUUUUAGUACUUUUUUAUUUUUCAGUUAUUUAUAUUUCAGUGCUCUUACACAUCUUGGUUCAAUGACUGUUACUGUACUUUGAAAUGUGGAAUAAAAAAUCCAAAUGAGAA